GAUGAAGAACGUAGCGAAAUGCGAUAAGUAGUGUGAAUUGCAGAAUUCAGUGAAUCAUCGAAUCGUUGAACGCACAUUGCGCCCCAUGGUAUUCCGUGGGGCAUGCCUGUUCGAGCGUCAUUUACCCCCUCAAGCUCCGCUUGGUGUUGGGCGUCUGUCCCGCUUCGCGCGCGGACUCGCCCCAAAGGUAUUGGCAGCGGUCGUGCCAGCUUCUCGCGCAGCACAUUGCGCUUCUCGAGGCACCGGUGGGCCCGCGUCCAUCAAGCUCACCCCCCCAGUUUGACCUCGGAUCAGGUAGGGAUACCCGCUGAACUUAAGCAUAUCAAUAAGCGGAGGA
rnacentral:misc_RNA from 1 species